UGACUCAUACCUGAAGAUAUUUUGACCCCUGUAGUCUUGGGGCAAAAACUAAGGUCCUGUAUCUUCAACUUGUAGGAUGGUCACGGAAUAUCACAACUUGCAUGCACAUUGUAUGAAGCCCUCAAGUGCUACAAAGAGUGCCAAAAUAUAGCCCAGCUAAAACUGUGGUCAAACUAUGGCUGUUGUACACAAACUCAAAUAAAAGUAAGGAUUAUCAGCCUUCCACAUUAACAGAACCCACUGUUGAGGUUCUGAAUCGCACACCAAGAGGCAAUCAAGUUGGAAUUGUGAAUCUCAUGCAUCAAUCCAAUCGACAGAUGAGAUGAUAACACCAAGUCCAGGAUUUAGAACACCUGGGGGCUCUGACUCCCCUAUCAAAACAGUCUGUUGGUGAUAUUUGGGCUCUUGUGCAUUGAUUUAGUCCACUGUUGUGACUGACUUCCAUACUUGAACUCAACCCACAAGAGGUGUUGACUCUUAUACCUUUAGCAGGAAAAUGUCCAGGAUUGUAAAUGUCUGCUAUUGACUGGGUCCAGGUAUGAGUUUUAUUGCUGUUUCUGUGAGCUGGGUUCAAAAAUGAGUCACUGUCUCACCUGUAGCUGUAUCUAUAUAUGACAGUCACAAUUCCAAGUCUGGAUUGCAUUUGCAUGUGAGAUUUAGGACCUCACCAGUGAGAACUAGCUAUGUGUGAGGGUGACAAUUCUAUCAGAUGGAUGUGCAUAUGAGAGUCACAAUCUCAUCUUUGUUCUGGGUCCUGUUAUGACACUGUAUCAUUUGAGGGCUUUAUACAAUAUACCUUGGUAUCAUAAUACACUAUGACCUUUAUUUAAGUAGGAGACCCAGGACCUUAUCUGUUGCCCUAAGCCUAGAUAUCAGAGUCAAAAUCUGUUCUCUUAGCUGGAUCCAGGUAUGAGAGUCAUCAUCUCACCUGUGAGCUGCGACCAUGUAUAUGUCGCAAUUUCACCUGUCAGCAGGAACCAGACAUGAGAGUCCUAUCACCUGGGUGCUGGCAUCUUGAAAUUUUAACAUCGAUGUAAAACAACUUUUGAAAGAUUUAUGAAACAAGUUUCAAGGUUCACCUUCAGGCUGGUUUGGUUAAGUGGAAAAAUGGCAGCAGCCUCAAGGUUCACACUGAAAGAAAAUGCUGUUAUGUGCAUGUCAACCCAUGUAAAAAAUACCUGUAUGCAAGAUGGCACGAAGACUUGUGCAGUUGGAAUCACCAGUGCAAAUGCAUGCAUUUGAGAUGAAAAAAGAUGCAAAGAAGACACAUUUGCUUUUUAUCCACACAUCACUUCCAGUCACUAUGCUGAGCAAAGUCAAUGUGAGCAGAGCUCAGAAUAGCAGUUUUCUGGAAGGACAGCCACUUUUGAGCAAAAAAUGACACAAUAAAAGUAUAAAUAUUUAAUAGUAAGCUAAUAUAUUUUCAGCAAAUUAAGCAUAUGCAUGAAUAAAAUUAUUGUGGUAUAAU